GACGAACGCUGGCGGCGUGCCUAAUACAUGCAGGUAGAACGCACAGUUUAUACCGUAGCUUGCUACACCAUAGACUGUGAGUUGCGAACGGGUGAGUAACGCGUAGGUAACCUGCCUGGUAGCGGGGGAUAACUAUUGGAAACGAUAGCUAAUACCGCAUAAUAUUAAUUAUUGCAUGAUAAUUAAUUGAAAGGUGCAAUUGCACCACUACCAGAUGGACCUGCGUUGUAUUAGCUAGUAGGUGAGGUAACGGCUCACCUAGGCGACGAUACAUAGCCGACCUGAGAGGGUGAUCGGCCACACUGGGACUGAGACACGGCCCAGACUCCUACGGGAGGCAGCUGUAGGGAAUCUUCGGCAAUGGACGAAAGUCUGACCGAGCAACGCCGCGUGAGUGAAGAAGGUUUUCGGAUCGUAAAGCUCUGUUGUAAGAGAAGAACGGGUGUGAGAGUGGAAAGUUCACACUGUGACGGUAUCUUACCAGAAAGGGACGGCUAACUACGUG
rnacentral:rRNA from 1 species